AUUCCAGCUCCAAUAGCGUAUACUAAAGUUGUUGCAGUUAAAAAGCUCGUAGUUGAAUUUCUGGUCGUGGCGACCGGUCCGCCCCUCACGGGGUGUGCACCUGGUCUCUGCGUCCAUCCUCGGGGAGAGCGCGUCUGGCAUUCAGUUGUCGGGCGCGGGAUCCUCGUCAUUUACUGUGAGCAAAAUAGAGUGUUCAAAGCAGGCUUAGGCCGUUGAAUACAUUAGCAUGGAAUAAUAAUCUAGGACUUUGGUUCUAUUUUGUUGGUUUCUAGCGCCAAAGUAAUGAUUGAUAGGGAUAGUUGGGGGUGCUAGUAUUUACCGGCCAGAGGUGAAAUUCUUGGAUUCGGUAAAGACUAACUUAUGCGAAAGCAUACACCAAGGAUGUCUUCAUCG
rnacentral:rRNA from 1 species